UGAGCCAUCGCCAAGUGGUAAGGCAAUGGACUUUGACUCCAUCAUCGCAGGUUCGAUUCCUGUUGGCUCAACCA
rnacentral:tRNA from 1 species